rnacentral:rRNA from 1 species
GAUGAACGCUGGCGGCGUGCCUAAUACAUGCAAGUCGAGCGAACGGACGAGAAGCUUGCUUCUCUGACUUUAGCGGCGGACGGGUGAGUAACACGUGGAUAACCUACCUAUAAGACUGGGAUAACUUCGGGAAACCGGAGCUAAUACCGGAUGAUAUUUUGAACCGCAUGGUUCAAAAGUGAAAGACGGUUUUGCUGUCACUUAUAGAUGGAUCCGCGCUGCAUUAGCUAGUUGGUAAGGUAACGGCUUACCAAGGCAACGAUGCAUAGCCGACCUGAGAGGGUGAUCGGCCACACUGGAACUGAGACACGGUCCAGACUCCUACGGGAGGCAGCAGUAGGGAAUCUUCCGCAAUGGGCGAAAGCCUGACGGAGCAACGCCGCGUGAGUGAUGAAGGUCUUCGGAUCGUAAAACUCUGUUAUUAGGGAAGAACAUAUGUGUAAGUAACUGUGCACAUCUUGACGGUACCUAAUCAGAAAGCCACGGCUAACUACGUG